UCCUGCUGUUUGAUUUCCUAAAGCUCCACAGCCCCGUCGACUUCUCCUUAGCAACGUCUUCCAUCAACAUCUCUCGCCCCGGAUGUGGACAUGAAUCUCGAAACUCCUCUUCCCAGAUCUCCUCUUGUUCAGGGAAAUUGGGGUCCUUACUGUCCACGUCUGUACACAAACCUUGUCCUGAUCGCCGCACCGCCUGUCGCACAGGCCGCACAUACACGCUGCUCCUUCCCAGGACGGGGCCUUGUCUGAAAGGAAUGUUCUCCCGUGUUUACUGCGUGGCUGUACUGCCAGAAUCCAGCUCGGGUCUGACUUCUGAAACUGAACCCUGGAAUUUGGGCACAUCCAAUGCAUCAUCACUCUUAUACUUGUGGGCACAUUUGUUGCUUUGCAAUCAGUGUCUCAAACAGGAAAUCUCCAACCUUUCCUCCUUCUGAAGCCCUCUUAUCAUGCCACUUAGGAAGCCAGAAUUGCAGAGAGGAAGUACAGGAUAGAGAAUUUUCAAAACUGUUUUCAGACACUGGCUAAAUAUUAUUAAGAAAAAAAGAACUGUUGUGCUUGAUAAAACUACCAGAUACACAAUACUGUAUAUGCAACAUAAAUAAGAGUAAGUAUAACAAACAUUUAUCUUUUGUUACACUUGCAAUCGAUCCACUACAGAAUGCAGAUAAAUGAAAAGAAGAACGUAAAAAUACUUAGAAAUGUAAAAGUUCUUAAUCCUUGUAAUUACUAGUAAAUCCCCAUGUUACAUUUGACUUUUUUCUUUUUGCGUUUUCUGAAUUCAUACAUUCCCUAAGAGAUAUUUUAAGUGUUGACACUUUCCCCUAUAAACCCACAGGCAGACAAAUGUUCAUUGUCCAAAUUAGGAAUUUGA